UAUAAAAAAAUUGUUUUAUAAUAAAGUUUAUAAUUAUUUUAAUAAAAAUAAUUUUAUAUUAAAUAUUUUUUGUAUAGUUUAUAGAUAAAAUAAUAAUAACAAUAGUUAAAAAGUAUAGUAAUAGAAAUUUGAAAUAUAAUGAAAUAAUUUUUAAGUAAUUAUUAUUUAAUGUACCUUUUGUAUCAGGGUUUAUUAAAAAGAAUUUAAUUAUAUAAAUUUCUCGAAUUUAAAAGAGUUAAAGUAUUAUUAAAUUUAUUGUAUUAAAAAUAUUUUAAAUAAUAUUUUAGAAAUUAAAAGUUAAUCGUUUUUAAAUAUAUCUAGUUUUUUAAGAAUUAAAUUUAAUUUAUUAUUAAAUUUAUAUUAAUUUAAUUAUUUAAUUUAAUAUAAUUUAAUAAAAAAUUUUAUAGGGAUAAGCUUAUAAAAUUUAAUUAUAAAUUUAUUUUAUUUAAAAAAAUAUAGGAUUAGAAAUUUCCAUUAUUAAAAAAAGUGUUAUAAUUUAUUUAUAUUAAUAAUUUAUUUAAAUGAAUUUUAAUUUAUUUAUUAAAAUAUUUAUUAAAAUUAAAUUAAUAAAGUAAUAAUGAUAAAAUUAGUAUUAAUUGUUUUAUAAAUAAAAAUUUUAUUUAGAUAAAAUUAAGGAAUUCAGCAAAUUUAAUAUUCACCUGUUUAUCAAAAACAUGUCUUUUUGUUUAUAAUAUAAAGUCUGACCUGCCCACUGAUAUAAAUUAAAGGGCCGCGGUAUAUUGACUGUGCAAAGGUAGCAUAAUCAUUUGUCUCUUAAUUGGAGGCUGGAAUGAAUGGUUGAAUGAAAUAUUAACUGUCUCAAUUUUAAAAAUAUAAAAAUUUAGCUUUUAAGUUAAAAGGCUUAAAUUAAUUUAAAGGACGAGAAGACCCUAUAGAUCUUUAUAAUUUAAUUAUAUUAUAAUAUAGUUAAAUAUUUAUUAAUAUAAUAAAAAUUAUUUUAUUGGGGUGAUAGGAAAAUUAAGUAAACUUUUUUUAAUUUAAAACAUUGAUUUAUGAAUAAUUGAUCCAUUAAUAAUGAUUAUAAGAUUAAGUUACCUUAGGGAUAACAGCGUAAUUUUUUUAAAGAGUUCAUAUCGAUAAAAAAGAUUGCGACCUCGAUGUUGAAUUAAAGUAAUUUUCAGAUGUAGAAGUUUGAAUAAUAGGUCUGUUCGACCUUUAAAUCUUUACAUGAUUUGAGUUCAGACCGGUGUGAGCCAGGUCGGUUUCUAUCCUUAAUAAAUUAAAAUAUUUUAGUACGAAAGGACCAAAUAUUUAAAUAAUAUUUUUGUUUUUGAAUAAUAUU
rnacentral:rRNA from 1 species